rnacentral:rRNA from 1 species
AACGAACGCUGGCGGCAGGCUUAACACAUGCAAGUCGAACGCAUCGCAAGAUGAGUGGCAGACGGGUGAGUAACGCGUGGGAACAUACCCUUUUCUACGGAAUAGCUCUGGGAAACUGGAAUUAAUACCGUAUACGCCCUACGGGGGAAAGAUUUAUCGGGGAAGGAUUGGCCCGCGUUGGAUUAGCUAGUUGGUGGGGUAAAGGCCUACCAAGGCGACGAUCCAUAGCUGGUCUGAGAGGAUGAUCAGCCACAUUGGGACUGAGACACGGCCCAAACUCCUACGGGAGGCAGCAGUGGGGAAUAUUGGACAAUGGGCGCAAGCCUGAUCCAGCCAUGCCGCGUGAGUGAUGAAGGCCUUAGGGUUGUAAAGCUCUUUCACCGAUGAAGAUAAUGACGGUAGUCGGAGAAGAAGCCCCGGCUAACUUCGUGCCAGCCGCCGCGGUAA